rnacentral:rRNA from 1 species
CCUACGGGUGGCAGCAGUGGGGAAUAUUGGGCAAUGGGCGCAAGCCUGACCCAGCAACGCCGCGUGAAGGAAGAAGGCUUUCGGGUUGUAAACUUCUUUUAAGAGGGAAGAACAGAAGACGGUACCUAUUGAAUAAGCCACGGCUUACUACGUGCCAGCAGCCGCGGUAAUACGUAGGUGGCAGGCGUUGUCCGGAUUUACUGGGUGUAAAGGGUGUGCAGCCGGGAAGACAAGUCAGAUGUGACAUCUCGCGGCACAACCGCGGAACUGCAGUUGAAACUGUGUUUCUGGAGUACCGGGGAGGUCAUCGGAAUUGGUGGUGUGGCGGUGAGAGGCGUGGAUAUGAGGAAGAACGGCAGUGGCGGAGGCGGAUGGCUGGACGGCAACUGACGGUGAGGCGAGAAGGGGUGGGGAGCAAGCAGGAUUAGAUCUUGUAGUC